rnacentral:rRNA from 1 species
AUUGAACGCUGGCGGCAUGCCUUACACAUGCAAGUCGAACGGCAGCACGGGUGCUUGCACCUGGUGGCGAGUGGCGAACGGGUGAGUAAUACAUCGGAACAUGUCCUGUCGUGGGGGUUAGCGCGGCGAAAGCCGGAUUAAUACUGCAUACGCUCUACGGCUGCAAGCGGGGGACCUUCGUGUCUGGCGCUUUCGGGUUGGCCGAUGGCUGAUUAGCUAGUUGGUGGGGUAAAGGCCUACCAAGGCGACGAUCAGUAGCUGGUCUGAGAGGACGACCAGCCACACUGGGACUGAGACACGGCCCAGACUCCUACGGGAGGCAGCAGUGGGGAAUUUUGGACAAUGGGCGAAAGCCUGAUCCAGCAAUGCCGCGUGUGUGAAGAAGGCCUUCGGGUUGUAAAGCACUUUUGUCCGGAAAGAAAUCCUUGGCCCUAAUACGGUCGUGGGAUGACGGUACCGGAAGAAUAAGCACCGGCUAACUACGUG